AUGGAGAGAAUGACUGUUGAUGACAUGGAUAUUGCUGUCCAAGCACAUAUAAAGGGAUGGAAGUUUCUGUUAUGGUUUAUGACUUUUCUAUAUGCUACACGAAUUUCCAUUCAGUGUCAGUGUGAAUUGCUGGAGUCAUACGAAGCAUACAGAAAACAACAAUAUAGAUGGCAUUCUGGUCCAGUGCAGUUGUUUAGACUCUGCUUUCGGGACAUCAUCAAAUCAAAGGGUCAUCAUUUGUAUAUUUCCUCUUCGGAGGGUGAUCUCAUCGCCCACGGAGAAGCAAUCCAAGGAGAAGAGAGUAGGUUCUGCACCCAACCUCGGCUCCCUAUCAAAGGAGGGGAAGUGGCUGCGAGCAUACCAUCAGCGUUGGGUCGAUGGUGUUGUGCCUCGGCAGCUGGUAUCAUGCAAGGCAGAUGGGAAGCAGCAGUGCCGCCUCUACCCCCAAGCUCCAGAUACAUGAUAGCAACAUCGAGGAGGAGAAAAACUGCAUUCAGAGGUUAUAGAAUGGCAAUGGGUGGGUUACCUCCCAGGAGCAGAUGA
rnacentral:rRNA from 1 species